GGGGGCGAAAGGCUUCGACUUAGGAAGCUGGGUAAGAGUUGCAUGCCGAGGGUGUCAGGUGGCCUCGUUAAAACCUGGCAACAAAGUUAAACGCGAAUGAACUCGCGCUAGCUGCUUAAUUAAGCAGCACGUCCGCCGGUCUUGCCUGUGAGGCCGGAUGUGACGCCGCAACAGGCUGGUCCUGCUGUUUCGCCUUUAAGCGGCAGGAUGAGAUCAUUUAAAGGCUAGUCCUUGCGGAAGCGGGCCUGCUUACGCGGCCUCAAGGGCGAAUGACAAAUUGCAGGAAAAGCAUGUAGUAGCUCUUGUCGGGUGACCUAAGGACCGGGGUUCGAAUCCCCGCGCCUCCACCA
rnacentral:tmRNA from 1 species